CUUUUUCACUGUUAUGCUUAAUUGGACUUUGUUAAAACUAUAUUUCGUCGGAUGGUUUUCGUUUGCAAGCAUUUAAAUCCUUGAGUUGGAUUAAUCAACAGUACUGGGAGUGAUAUCUUGAAUUACAGGUUUAAGGCGGUCAUGACACUAGCGGGGCUCAAGCUCACGACCUCUUGGUUAUGAAGCAAACUCUCUACCUUUGAGUUACCGAUGACGGUAAAAUGAAUGCCAAAGAAAAGAAAGAGAAUAAAAAGAAGAACGAUACGAUGCAAUCUUUGUUAAGAUGGAACUUGGAUUUCUUCAUGAUUUCAGACGUCUGAGAUUGUCCUAACGUGCGUCAAGUUUACCACUGCUCUGAUUGAGGGCACACUGAGUUACCCUGACUUUUCAAUAUAUUGUAUCUGAAGUCAUCCUGAGUUUCCAUGAAGUUUCUAGUGCUAUAUCUGAGGUCAUUCUGAGUUGUUCGGACAUUUUAGUUGAACUAAAGUUUUCAGUAUUGUGCUUAUGGUGACCUUAAACUAUCUGGUCACAGAUGAUCAAACCCAACUGACCACUGAAUAUUUUUCUUCACGUCCACUUCUCUAAAACCAAGUGCGUGUGGCAGGUUGCAAUCAUCACUACCGGGUAAUCAUAUUAAAAACCACACCCUCGAUUCAUUUGCUUGAAAACGAAUAGAAAAUCAACUCUAGAUAAAUCAACCAACUCAAUUUUCCCUAGUAAUUUUACAGCUUCCACUAAAUUACACUAUAUUUCUACAAUGUGGCUAUAGUAAUCGCUAUUUACUUAUUAUGCCAUAAACAUUUUCUGUUUGCUUAUGUUUGAAGUCUAUCAAAAAUAGAUGGUUGUUUUCUUUAUUUGCUUUACACCCCACUAGACAUGUUUGUCACAAAUAUUUUUAUAAAUAUUUCUACUUACUAACCACAAUUACUAUGUAUAAUUCAAUGACGUUCUAACCAUAGUUAUUUUCUCCUCUUUUGUCCCCUUAGUCUGUUCUUCGUAAUUGUUUGAUGAAAUAAAGAUAUAAUUCAGAUGUAUAUUACAGAGUUAAUUAUCGAAAUGUUUCCAUACAUGGGGUCGAAAGAUUUGUUUGUCUCAUUUGUCUCAUUUGCAUUGAAUUGAAACUAUUCUUUACAUUAUUUGUAAAACUCAUAAACCUCGAUACUAUUGUUCAAUCCAUCACGAGGAUAUUUGAAAGCUCCUUAACAUAUACCGUAUGAAAUAACAUCUUUUAACAACGUACAAUUAACCAUGAAAAAGGAAAAGGUGAAGGCAACGAUGAAACUAAUAUUCUAGAGC